CAAGAACUCUCGCCUCGCGAGCACCUCCAGCCUUGUGUGUUAUGAGUGUUUGUGCGAUCUGUGUCGCACGUUUUGAUCAAGAGCGAACCCCCUUAUGAUAAUAAGACCUAAUGAUGACGUUAAAUGCAGUCUGUAAAGCUGUUUAAGAUAUGUUGAUAUUGAUUGAGUAUGAUUAAUGUAUUGUACAUUUAUGUAAGAUAUGGAAGUUUAAUUAUGAUAUAAUUGAUGUGCUAUUGAUAUAAUGAUAUCAUCCUGUUAUGUGACUUGAUUAUGCUGCUGCUGUUAUUUAACUAACUGCAUUGUAUAUAUUUAUAUAUGAUGAAAUGAUGACGUUUAGCUCCAAAUUGUUGGAUGCAUGUUGAUAUGUUGAUUACGAUGUUUUGUUCAUAAGAGUCCAUGCAUAACAUCUCAUUGAGCUUAGUCCUCACCACGUUUAUUAGGAGCUUUGUCCUCCGCACGAUUAUUAGGAGCUUUGUCCUCCGCACGAUUAAAGUAUAUUAAUACUUAUGAUGACGAUUGGUACCACAUGCAUAUAAGGAGUCUAAGAGCAUUUUCACAUUGUCAUGUCCAUAAUGCUAUGUUGUUGAUGACGAUUGAAUAAGUGAAUACGUGAUAUUAGUUUAUUGAAUAUGUGAAUACGUGAUACUUGUUAUUUGAAUAUGCAAAGUUAUCCAAGAAUGAUUAUGAUGUUAAUGUUAAUUAUGAUUCGAAUUACUUUGAUUAGCAUUAUUUUGUUAUGAAAUCUCACCCCUUCUGCUUGAAAAUGUUGCCCUUCGUAUGGGUAACUUGCAGGUGAUCGUGCUUAGUGUGCAGUUUGCUUUCGUGAGUUGGCCUUGCCUUCACUGUGUCGUCUAGGUCGCUCUGAUACGUAACGGGAUGGGGUUAUAUGCUAUAACAUGCUUCAUUCUUUUACGUGAAUUGCUAUGACAAUUUCUGUUUUGAUUAACUCUUUUGAGAUACUUAUUUGGGGCCUGCGUGCCAAACUGAUUUAUGGUUUACGAACUAAUAUUCCGCUGCUAUGUUAAGAUAUUAUGUGGAAGUUAAAUUAUUAUUUAACUGUUUUUGGAUUACGUUUUUAUGUGAUAUCCCGUUUAUGAUUUUUACUCUGAUAAAUGUUUAAGAAAUUUGUAUAUUGGGAAAACGGGGUGUUACAAUUGGUAUCAGAGCAGGUCGGUCCGUCCGGUCAAUUAGAGAGUCGUGUCGAGUCUUAGUAAUAUUUAUAUUACUAUCUUAUGUUGUUGUUGCUACUUUUGUAAAAUCUCGGUAAUGGCUGGAAGAAACGAUGUUGCGUUAGCUGCUGCUCUACAAGUUGUUGCCCAAGCUGUGGGACAACAACCUAACGCAAAUGCGGGUGCGAAUGCUGAAGCUAGGAUGUUGGAGACUUUCAUGAAGAAGAACCCUCCAACUUUCAAAGGGCGUUAUGACCCUGAUGGAGCCCAGACGUGGCUUAAGGGGAUUGAGAGGAUUUUCCGGGUUAUGCAGUGCACUGAAGAUCAGAAGGUGCGGUUUGGUACUCAUCAGCUAGCCGAGGAAGCNNNNNNNNNNNNNNNNNNNNNNNNNNNNNNNNNNNNNNNNNNNNNNNNNNNNNNNNNNNNNNNNNNNNNNNNNNNNNNNNNNNNNNNNNNNNNNNNNNNNCUGGUGCUACGCAUGCUUUAUGCUUUCGAUGUGUUUCUGCUUUGUGUCUGAGUGUCUGAUAUGAAUGGAGAGAUGGUGUCGAAACUCCGGCUAAGGGUUCGGUGACUACUUCUCUCGUAUGUUUGAAAUGUCCUUGUCUAUGUUUGGUCGUGAUUUCGAAAUGGAUUUAGUUUGUCUAUCUUUGAGCGGUAUGGAUGUGAUUCUGGGUAUGAACUGGUUAGAGUACAACCACGUUCUUAUUAAUUGUUUUAGCAAGUCUGUGCAUUUCUCUUCCGUCGAAGAGGAAAGUGGUGCGGAGUUUUUAUCUACUAAGCAGCUGAAGCAACUGGAACGCGACGGUAUCUUGAUGUUUUCGUUAAUGGCUACCUUAUCUAUUGAGAAUCAAGCAGUGAUUGAUAGGUUACCGGUGGUGUGUGAAUUUCCUGAAGUUUUUCCAGAUGAGAUUCCUGAUGUGCCUCCUGAGAGAGAAGUUGAGUUUUCUAUUGAUCUUGUCCCUGGAACGAAGCCGGUCUCGAUGGCACCUUAUCGUAUGUCUACUUCCGAGUUAUCUGAGUUGAAGAAACAGUUGGAGGACUUGCUUGAGAAGAAGUUUGUUAGACCAAGUGUUUCACCUUGGGGAGCGCCGGUUUUGUUAGUAAAGAAGAAAGAUGGUAGUAUGCGGUUAUGUAUUGAUUAUCGGCAGUUGAACAAGGUAACUAUCAAGAAUAGGUAUCCACUUCCGAGAAUUGAUGAUUUGAUGGAUCAGUUAGUGGGUGCACGUGUUUUUAGCAAGAUUGAUUUGAGGUCAGGUUAUCACCAGAUUAAAGUAAAGGAUGAAGAUAUGCAGAAGACAGCUUUCAGAACGCGUUAUGGUCACUAUGAAUAUAAAGUUAUGCCUUUUGGUGUUACCAAUGCACCUGGAGUGUUUAUGGAGUAUAUGAAUCACAUCUUCCAUGCAUUUUUGGAUCGGUUUGUGGUUGUGUUUAUCGACGAUAUUUUGAUUUACUCCAAGACUGAAGAAGAACAUGCUGAGCAUCUGAAGAUUGUUUUGCAAGUGUUGAAAGAGAAGAAGCUUUAUGCUAAAUUGUCUAAGUGUGAAUUCUGGUUGAAAGAAGUGAGUUUUCUAGGCCAUGUUAUUUCUAGUGAUGGUAUUGCAGUGGAUCCGUCUAAAGUUGAAGCGGUAUCGCAAUGGGAGACUCCUAAGUCCGUUACAGAGAUUAGAAGCUUUUUGGGUUUAGCUGGUUACUAUAGAAGGUUUAUUGAAGGGUUUUCCAAGUUAGCUCUUCCGCUUACGCAGUUGACUUGUAAAGGUAAAACUUUUGUGUGGGACGUCCAUUGUGAGAAAAGUUUCGGUGAAUUGAAGAAACGUUUGACGACUGCUCCAGUGUUAAUUUUGCCGAAGUCAGAUGAACCUUUUGUGGUGUAUUGUGAUGCGUCUAAGUUGGGUUUAGGAGGUGUACUUAUGCAAGAAGGUAAAGUGGUAGCUUAUGCUUCAGGACAGUUGAGAAUUCAUGAGAAGAAUUAUCCUACGCAUGAUCUCGAGUUAGCGGCCGUAGUCUUUGUAUUGAAGAUAUGGAGACAUUACUUGUAUGGUUCGAGAUUUGAGGUGUUUAGUGAUCGCAAGAGUUUGAAGUAUUUGUUCGAUCAGAAGGAAUUGAAUAUGAGACAGCGAAGAUGGCUUGAAUUGUUGAAAGAUUAUGACUUUGGUUUGAAUUAUCAUCCAGGUAAAGCUAAUGUUGUUGCAGAUGCCUUGAGUAGGAAGACAUUGCAUAUGUCCGCUAUGAUGGUCAGAGAGUUCGAAUUGCUUGAACAGUUUAGAGAUAUGAGUUUGGUUUGCGAAUGGUCACCUCAGAGUGUGAAACUGGGUAUGCUGAAGAUUGAUAGUGAAUUCCUGAAAAGUAUCAAGGAAGCGCAGAAAGUUGAUGUCAAGUUUGUGGACUUGUUGGUUGCUAGAGAUCAGACUGAAGACAGUGAUUUUAAAAUCGACAAUCAAGGUGUGUUGAGAUUCCGAGGAAGAAUUUGUAUCCCAGACAAUGAAGAGAUUAAGAAGAUGAUUCUUGAAGAGAGUCAUAGAAGUAGCUUGAGUAUUCAUCCGGGAGCUACGAAGAUGUAUCAUGAUUUAAAGAAGAUUUUCUGGUGGUCUGGUUUGAAACGAGAUGUGGCACAAUUUGUGUAUUCCUGUUUAGUUUGUCAGAAGUCGAAAGUUGAACAUCAGAAACCUGCUGGAAUGAUGGUACCUUUAGACGUGCCAGAAUGAAAAUGGGAUAGUAUAUCCAUGGAUUUUGUGACGAGUUUGCCAAAUACUCCUAGAGGGAACGACGCAAUUUGGGUUAUUGUUGAUAGAUUGACGAAGUCGGCUCAUUUUCUACCGAUUAAUAUUAGUUUCCCCGUUGCCCAGUUGGCAGAGAUUUAUAUCAAGGGGAUUGUGAAGUUGCAUGGUGUUCCUUCGAGCAUUGUGUCAGACAGAGAUCCAAGAUUUACUUCUAGAUUUUGGAAAAGUUUGCAAGAGGCUUUGGGUUCGAAGUUGAGGUUGAGUUCGGCGUAUCAUCCGUAGACAGAUGGUCAGUCGGAGAGGACAAUUCAGUCGCUAGAGGAUUUGUUGAGAAUUUGUGUUCUUGAGCAAGGAGGAACUUGGGAUAGUCAUCUUCCGUUGAUCGAGUUCACAUACAAUAAUAGUUAUCAUUCAAGUAUUGGAAUGGCACCUUUCGAGGCUUUAUAUGGUCGGAGAUGCAGAACUCCGUUGUGCUGGUUUGAGUCAGGUGAAAGAGUGGUCUUAGGACCAGAGAUUGUUCAGCAAACUNNNNNNNNNNNNNNNNNNNNNNNNNNNNNNNNNNNNNNNNNNNNNNNNNNNNNNNNNNNNNNNNNNNNNNNNNNNNNNNNNNNNNNNNNNNNNNNNNNNNGCUUGAUUCGUUGAGUCAAAGAAGUUGACCCCGAAGUUCAUUGGUCCGUAUCAGAUUUUGGAAAGAGUUGGAACGGUGGCUUACCGAGUGGGUUUACAGCCGCAUCUUUCGAAUUUGCACAAUGUUUUCCACGUGUCGCAACUUUGGAAGUAUGUUCCGGAUCCAUCUCAUGUAAUUCAGAGUGACGAUGUGCAAGUUAGAGACAACCUUACGGUAGAAACUUUACCGUUGAGGAUUGAUGAUCGUAAAGUGAAGACGUUGAGAGGCAAGGAGAUACCUCUCGUGAGAGUCGUUUGGACGGGAGCGACUGGUGAAAGCUUGACGUGGGAGCUUGAGAGUAAGAUGCUGGAGUUUUAUCCAGAGUUGUUUGCUUGAGGUAAAUUUUCGAGGACGAAAAUCUUUUAAGUGGGGGAGAGUUGUAACGCCCACUUUCGUUUAAUCGUUAUUUAAUCGAGUUUAGGCAAUUAUAUUAUAAUUAUAUAAUAUAUGCGUGAUUUUGUUAUGUUUUGGUGAUUCACGAUGAAUUUAGUGAUUUGAUUGAUGACGUGAUAAGUUAUGAGUUUUGGAGGAUUUGAUUAUGAUAUGAGAUUUAUUUUAUUGUUAAAUAGAAUAAAGAUUUGAAAAUAAUAUAAAAUAUUUAGUUAAGGGUUGUUUUGAUAUUUUAGAUAGUUUUGGGGGAGAAAGUGAGAUAAGAUAAGUAAUUAGGAAGAGAUAUAAAUAGGAGAAGACCUAAUAUUUUAGAAACUCAUUGUACGUGAAAACUUUUGGAAAAGGGAGAAAAAGCUUAGAAGGGAGAAGAGCAUAGAGAGGGCUGCGAUUUCUUCAUAACCAGGUAAGGGUGAGACUAAUAACUCAGUAUUGUUAAUUGAAUGUGAUUCUGAUGAUUAGUUAACAAGAAUUAGGAGUGAAUUGGAGAAAACGAAAACUAGGUCAAAACCUUAGAAUUGAUGAUCAAACGGUGAUAAUUGGUUUAAUUGAUGUAGAAAGUGUUCCUAGACCUUAGAUAAUGUUUAGGACGAACUUUGGAAUCAAAAACAAGCUUAGAACCAUGUGAAACGUCGAGUUUUUGUGAAUUUAGGAAGUCUGGCCGUAGCGACAUUCAUCGCUCGCCACGACGAGCUAUGAAUCUCGCCUCGCGAGUGAUGAACAUUCAUCGCUCGCCUCGCGAACCCUGUUUUCUCGCCUCGCGAGUUGUGCAAUGCAGCUCGCCAUAGCGAGCUUAGGCAGAGUGCAUGUUAGAUUUUGUGUUUCGACCUUUUUAGUUGGACCUUGAAUGCCUUAGAGUGCCUGAACAUACCUAGUAAUGAUUAGGAAUGAAUGUAGGGCAAGAUUAGACCCAGAACAACUUUAGUUUGGGAAUUGUUUAGUACUCGCCAUGGCGAGCAAGAACUCUCGCCUCGCGAGCACCUCCAGCCUUGUGUGUUAUGAGUGUUUGUGCGAUCUGUGUCGCACGUUUUGAUCAAGAGCGAACCCCCUUAUGAUAAUAAGACCUAAUGAUGACGUUAAAUGCAGUCUGUAAAGCUGUUUAAGAUAUGUUGAUAUUGAUUGAGUAUGAUUAAUGUAUUGUACAUUUAUGUAAGAUAUGGAAG
rnacentral:lncRNA from 1 species